AUUGAACGCUGGCGGAAUGCUUUACACAUGCAAGUCGAACGGCAGCACGGACUUCGGUCUGGUGGCGAGUGGCGAACGGGUGAGUAAUGUAUCGGAACGUGCCCAGUCGUGGGGGAUAACGUAGUGAAAAUUACGCUAAUACCGCAUACGAUCUAUGGAUGAAAGCGGGGGAUCGCAAGACCUCGCGCCAUUGGAGCGGCCGAUAUCAGAUUAGUUAGUUGGUGGGGUAAAGGCCCACAAAGCCAACGAUCGGUAGCUGGUCUGAGAGGACGACCAGCCACACUGGAACUGAGACACGGUCCAGACUCCUACGGGAGGCAGCAGUGGGGAAUUUUGGACAAUGGGUGAAAGCCUGAUCCAGCCAUUCCGCGUGCAGGAUGAAGGCCCUCGGGUUGUAAACUGCUUUUGUACGGAACGAAAAGGUUUCUACUAAUACUAGGAGCUCAUGACGGUACUGUAAGAAUAAGCACCGGCUAACUACGUGCCAGCAGCCGCCGUAA
rnacentral:rRNA from 1 species